rnacentral:rRNA from 1 species
GAUGAACGCUAGCGGCAGGCUUAACACAUGCAAGUCGAGGGGUAUAUGUCUUCGGAUAUAGAGACCGGCGCACGGGUGCGUAACGCGUAUGCAAUCUACCUUUCACAGAGGGAUAGCCCAGAGAAAUUUGGAUUAAUACCUCAUAGUAUUAUUGAGUGGCAUCACUUAAUAAUUAAAGUCACAACGGUGAAAGAUGAGCAUGCGUCCCAUUAGCUAGUUGGUAAGGUAACGGCUUACCAAGGCAACGAUGGGUAGGGGUCCUGAGAGGGAGAUCCCCCACACUGGUACUGAGACACGGACCAGACUCCUACGGGAGGCAGCAGUGAGGAAUAUUGGACAAUGGGCGCAAGCCUGAUCCAGCCAUGCCGCGUGCAGGAUGACGGUCCUAUGGAUUGUAAACUGCUUUUGUACGAGAAGAAACACUGCUUCGUGAAGCAGCUUGACGGUAUCGUAAGAAUAAGGAUCGGCUAACUCCGUG